CCUAUCAGUAUCCUGAGUAGGGCGGGACACGUGAAAUCCCGUUUGAAUCCGCGAGGACCAUCUCGCAAGGCUAAAUACUAACCAGUGACCGAUAGUGAACCAGUACCGUGAGGGAAAGGUGAAAAGAACCCCGGGAGGGGAGUGAAAGAGAACCUGAAACCGUGUGCCUACAAGUAGUCAGAGCCCGUUAACGGGUAAUGGCGUGCCUUUUGUAGAAUGAACCGGCGAGUUGCGUUAGUCAGCAAGGUUAAGUCAGAAAAGACGGAGCCGUAGCGAAAGCGAGUCUGAAGAGGGCGAGCAGUUGGCUGACGCAGACCCGAAACCAAGUGACCUACCCAUGACCAGGUUGAAGGCGCGGUAAAACGCGCUGGAGGACCGAACCCACGUAAGUUGAAAAUUGCGGGGAUGAGUUGUGGGUAGCGGUGAAAUUCCAAACGAACUUGGAGAUAGCUGGUUCUCUCCGAAAUAGCUUUAGGGCUAGCCUCGCAAAGAGGAUGCUGGAGGUAGAGCUCUGUUUGGACUAGGGGCCCGUCAAGGGUUACUGAAUUCAGAUAAACUGCGAAUUCCAGACAUUUAUGUGCGGGAGUCAGACUGCGAGUGAUAAGAUCCGUAGUCGAAAGGGAAACAGCCCAGAUCACCAGUUAAGGUCCCAAAAUUCAUGCUAAGUGGAAAAGGAUGUGGAGUUGCGCAGACAACUAGGACGUUGGCUCAGAAGCAGCCAUCAUUCAAAGAGUGCGUAAUAGCUCACUAGUCGAGUGACGCCGCGCCGAAAAUUUACCGGGGCUAAGCAUGAUACCGAAACUGUGGAUGUGCGCUUAUGCACGUGGUAGGAGAGCGUUCUAGCGGCGGUGAAGCAUGACCGAGAGGACAUGUGGAGCUUCUAGAAGUGAGAAUGCCGGUAUGAGUAACGAAAGACAGGUGAGAAUCCUGUCCGCCGCAAGACUAAGGUUUCCUGGGGCAGGCUCGUCCGCCCAGGGUAAGUCGGGACCUAAGGCGAGGCCGAGAGGCGUAGUCGAUGGACAACAGGUUGAAAUUCCUGUACUGCACCGAAUCGUUAUGAGCGAUGGAGGGACGCAGGAGGCUAGCAGCGCGUGGUGCUGGAUACCACGUUCAAGCGUCAAGUCUGAGAGCGAGUCAAAUGCUUGCUCUCAUAAGGACAAGGCGUGAUGAGGAGCGAAAUUAAAGUAGCGAAGGCUGCCGAGAAAAGCUUCUAGCCAGAGACGGUGCACCCGUACCGCAAACCGACACAGGUAGUCGAGGAGAGUAUCCUCAGGUGAGCGAGAGAACUCUCGUUAAGGAACUCGGCAAAAUGGCCCCGUAACUUCGGGAGAAGGGGCGCUGGUCGCAAGAUCAGCCGCAGUGAAAAGGCCCAAGCAACUGUUUAUCAAAAACACAGGCAUCUGCAAAAUCGUAAGAUGAAGUAUAGGUGCUGACACCUGCCCGGUGCUGGAAGGUUAAGAGGAGAGCUUAGCGCAAGCGAAGGUUUGAAUUGAAGCCCCAGUAAACGGCGGCCGUAACUAUAACGGUCCUAAGGUAGCGAAAUUCCUUGUCGGGUAAGUUCCGACCUGCACGAAAGGUGUAAUGAUUUGGGCACUGUCUCAACGAGAGACUCGGUGAAAUUAUAAUACCCGUGAAGAUGCGGGUUACCCGCGACAGGACGGAAAGACCCCAUGGAGCUUUACUGCAGUUUAAUAUUGGGUAUCUGUCAAGCAUGUACAGGAUAGGUAGGAGCCGGAGAAGAUAGGACGCCAGUCUUAUCAGAGGCGCUGUUGGGAUACUACCCUUGCUUGACGGAUGCUCUAACUCAGG
rnacentral:rRNA from 1 species